UUGGAUACAUUGUUUUUGGUAGGCAGCUUUGUUUGCCUUUCAGUUGUGAUAUUGACAGGAACAAGACAGAAUCGAUGGGGAAUCAGGGUUAAUUUUAAGCACAAAAUCAAAUUGUGCUUGCUCAGGAAAAAGGAACCUUCGAAAGGAUUGGAAAACAGAGCACAAAAGGAAAUUAUACCUUACAAUGUGGGAGAAAGUGUCCUUCAGCUUUGGUAACAACUUGCAGCAGGCGAAAACAGGGGGCAGCAUCGAAAACAUCACAAUGCCGCAGAUGUGCAACACACACGGCCAAUAUCGAAUGCGGAUAUGAGGGAUACGAGUGUGUGUGUGUGGCACAACCAGGGGCUUUGGUGCUACCCACAAAGCCCCACUCGGCCAGCAGCAGCAAUAAAGGAAAAUAAGUGUCUAGAACAAGCAGCGACUAGCAUAACUGCGGGAAAGUGACGGUGAUGAGAGCCCCUGACCCACGUCAACCCACGACCCCUCCGAAUUCGAUUCCUGAUGCCACAGAAAGCAAUUUGAACUGGGCUGCCUGCCUCUGGUUAGAUCACGUGCACCACCGUUGCGGUUUCGCAAUUGCUGGCCAUUACAAAAGGAACUGAACUAAGAUUUUAAAUCAUUGUACACCCUCUUCAAAUAAACCAUUAAAUUCUUUAAAGCUA